CCCUAGGGAGAACCUUCUUCAACACACGAAAACUGGGGAUUAUUCUGAGGUCCUUGAUGUCUGUGUUCUGCCAUCAUUCUUCCGUCUUAGAAGGCGAAACUCUUCCACACAAAUCCCUUAAAAACAGGAUCUUAUACAACACCAGACGUCUCAUCUGACUGUUAGUUUUGGAAAAUCUUCGUCAUGAAGUUUCACAGCUUGGUCGCGUCUCUGUCGCAGCUCGUCAUCGCAGCAGUGAGUCACGGUCUCCCAGCCGCCGUCACGGCCCCUCCUCAGGUGGCCGCUCAGUGCCCCUACACGCCGGAGCCGAACCUUCUUUUACAAGCGUUGGUUCGGGUAUACAGUAAAUCUUCACUUAUUGCUUUAGAUAAUGUCUUAGUAUUUUCAUUGUAGGGAUUUUUAUAAUGCCAUGGAUUGCGAGACAUAACAAGCAAUGGUUUGCAUGUUACAAUUUAUUAUUUCUUUCUCCAUUGUGGGUUCUGAGUUGUGCCCAACCACCUAGUCAUAUGCCCGUCUUUUACAGGUCUUAUUUUCUCAUUUAUUUCCUUCCUAUUUUGUCAUCCUGUUCUAAGGGGUGGUCGUUAAUUUUAUGUUGCCAAUGGAAUUCAGUUAAUAUUAUAUACUACAUAAUCCAAUGAUCACAUACACAUACACGCACGUCCGUAUAUAAAUGCAUAUAUAGACAUAUAUAUACAUAUAUACGCAUAUCCAUUCAGCUUUCUAUAUCUACCUGUCUGUCUACGGAACUGCCCACUGUCAAAGUCUAUAUGUAUCACAAACGAUUUGUUGUCUGCUCUUCCUUUCUUUGCUUUAUUUACAAUUUUCUCUCUUGAUUCCUUAACUCCACACUGUGCUUAUCAGUUGCUUCCGGGGAGAACCUGGUUCGAUGAGGAGAUGCCUUGUUUUUUUUCUUGAUUUCCUUUGUUGGCGAUACAAGAUUAGGAAAUGGAUUAAAGGGAUUAUUCUGAGUUCGUCGAUGACUAUAUUUUGACGUCAUUCUUCCAACUUAUAAGGCGAAACUCUCGUCCUGACAAGUCAUUCGUCUAUCAAUUUUUGGAAAAUCUUCGUCAUGAAGUUUCACAGCUUGGUCGCGUCUCUGUCGCUGCUGGUCGUCGCAGGAGUGAGUCACGGCCUCCCAGCCGCCGGCACAGCCCCUCCUCAGGUGGCCGCUCAGUGCCCCUACACGCCGGGGCCGAUCCCUCUGCUGCUGCCCAACCCCGUCGACUGCGGCUCCUUCUACAUGUGCAGCUGGUACGGGACGGCCCUGUUGCAGCACUGUCCUCCUAUGCUGCACUUC